UGCAUGUUUCGAGACGACGCGGGCACGUCCAUGUCUUUCCCUUCUCGGAAGAAGCUCCAGCAAGAACGAAAGAGUCCUUUAAACGAAAUGCACGAGAAGCAGUGCGAUUGCAACAACAGGUAUGCAUGCAUAGUUAGUCCUCUAGCUAUUCCAUGCAGUUAUUUUCUUUCAUGUAAUUUUACGAGUACAUAUUAGACUGCAGGAGUAAAGACCGCUUCACCGCUGCUUCUUUUGUGCCAUUUUGACCCAGUGAGAGGCACUGUCAUCGACUACAUGCACGGUAUUCUGUUAGGAGUCACAAAAACGCUGUUGCACCGUUGGAUUGAUAACGAGCACAAAGGAGAACGAUUUUAUAUUGGAAAUAAGAGAGAGCUGAUAGACCAAUGCCUUUGUAACAUUAAGCCUCCCGACUAUGUGAAGAGAAUGCCUCGAGGUCUACAGUGGUUAGGACGCUGGAAAGCGUCAGAGUUCAGAUCUUGGCUUUUGUUUUACGGUAUUCCCUGUCUUUGGGGAAUUUUGCCCAGUUGCUACUUGAAUCACUU